UAGGGAAUCUUCCGCAAUGGGCGAAAGCUUGACGGAGCAACGCCGCGUGAGUGAUGAAGGUCUUCGGAUCGUAAAACUCUGUUAUUAGGGAAGAACAAAUGUGUAAGUAACUAUGCACGUCUUGACGGUACCUAAUCAGAAAGCCACGGCUAACUACGUGCCAGCAGCCGCGGUAAUACGUAGGUGGCAAGCGUUAUCCGGAAUUAUUGGGCGUAAAGCGCGCGUAGGCGGUUUUUUAAGUCUGAUGUGAAAGCCCACGGCUCCACCGUGGAGGGUCAUUGGAAACUGGAAAACUUGAGUGCAGAAGAGGAAAGUGGAAUUCCAUGUGUAGCGGUGAAAUGCGCAGAGAUAUGGAGGAACACCAGUGGCGAAGGCGACUUUCUGGUCUGUAACUGACGCUGAUGUGCGAAAGCGUGGGGAUCAAACAGG
rnacentral:rRNA from 1 species